rnacentral:rRNA from 2 species
AACUGCGAGUGAAGCGGGAAAAGCUCAAAUUUAAAAUCUGGCGGUCCUUGGCCGUCCGAGUUGUAAUUUAGAGAAGCGUCUUCCGCGCCGGACCGUGCACAAGUCUCCUGGAAUGGAGCGUCGUAGAGGGUGAGAAUCCCGUCUUUGGCACGGACUCCCGGUGCUUCUGUGAUGCGCUCUCGAAGAGUCGAGUUGUUUGGGAAUGCAGCUCAAAAUGGGUGGUGAACUCCAUCUAAAGCUAAAUAUUGGCGAGAGACCGAUAGCGAACAAGUACCGUGAGGGAAAGAUGAAAAGCACUUUGGAAAGAGAGUGAAACAGUACGUGAAAUUGUUGAAAGGGAAACGCUUGAAGUCAGUCGCGUCGACCGAGACUCAGCCUCGCCUCGGCUUGGUGUACUUCUCGGGCUGACGGGUCAGCGUCGAUUUUGCUGCUCGGAAAAUGACAAGGGAAAGGUGGCACCUUUGCGGGUGUGUUAUAGUCUCCUGUCGCAUACGAGGGGUGGGAUCGAGGAAUUCAGCACGCGCCUUUGGUGUCGGGGCUUCG